rnacentral:rRNA from 1 species
GAUGAACGCUGGCGGCGUGCCUAAUACAUGCAAGUCGAGCGAACAGACGAGGAGCUUGCUCCUCUGACGUUAGCGGCGGACGGGUGAGUAACACGUGGAUAACCUACCUAUAAGACCGGGAUAACUUCGGGAAACCGGAGCUAAUACCGGAUAAUAUAUUGUACCGCAUGGUUCAAUAGUGAAAGACGGUUUUGCUGUCACUUAUAGAUGGAUCCGCGCCGCAUUAGCUAGUUGGUAAGGUAACGGCUUACCAAGGCAACGAUGCGUAGCCGACCUGAGAGGGUGAUCGGCCACACUGGAACUGAGACACGGUCCAGACUCCUACGGGAGGCAGCAGUAGGGAAUCUUCCGCAAUGGGCGAAAGCCUGACGGAGCAACGCCGCGUGAGUGAUGAAGGUCUUCGGAUCGUAAAACUCUGUUAUUAGGGAAGAACAAAUGUGUAAGUAACUAUGCACGUCUUGACGGUACCUAAUCAGAAAGCCACGGCUAACUACGUG